GCAUAACCCACUCCUAUCGCGCUUGUCCGGUUUGUUUUUGGCUUAGCACAGCUGAAGGAUCGGUUGUUUUAAUCGCCUGGAAAGGCACAAAAAGGAAGGGGAUAUGUUGCGCAAGCCAGAGCCAAGAAGCUUCAUACAUUCCAGAGGUUUUUGUGUGUUUGCGGGGGUUAUACAUACAGACAAACACGCUUCCAUUGUUGAAGCGCUGAUAGGGAUUAAGAAUUCGUUGCAGUCAUGGAUACUGCCCCAUCUUGCCAGCAUACAAACGCAUCUCAAACGGGAUUUCAUUGGUACACACCACGUUCACGUUUACAUCCUCCUUUCAUUAGCGUCUUCCAAGUGUUGAGCCAAUGUUAUUGGCGUUUUCCACUCCCCCUUCUAUUGUUUAUUUGACUAAGCUAAGUUUUAAUGUUUUCCCAGUCAAGAGAUUUCAUGCCGUUACAGGGAUUCACUUUUCAAGUUCGCAUUCGUUUACUGUACACGAAUUAUAUUUUAAAUAAAAGAGAAACACCAUUUUUUGUUGACUUAUAACUUUGUGUUUAUCUUAUGUUUGUGUUCUGCCUCUGAUUUCCCCCGCAUGGCCUCUCGAAAUGAUACAUUUCAUACCAACUCGGUUAUCAUCAUAACUAGGACCAGCAUUAGCGUAGCACGUUUGUAGAGAAACCAACAAAAAAAAUAGGAAAAUUCUCCCUCACUCGAUAGCGAAGUAGCAAAAUGGGGUACCCUAAGAUCAACUGUAGAUAGAUGUUUCUGUGAAGCAUAUAAAGCAUAUCUCACGCAAAGCGAAAAAGCGCGAGCUCCAUGUGCUCCCGGGCCCCUGAUCAUCUCUUUCCCCCUUCAUAUCAUACCAUUACAUGCACGAGCAGUAUCCGCACAUUCCUGCUCCCCUACAUGGCACCUACAAUCGAAACGUUACUCCUCUAAUCCAUCAUACCAUUCAACCGAUAAAAAGCUUGUGCGGUUAGCAGCGACAGUUGCCGCCGUGUUGCACUUUAAAAGACUCGAGAUUAAAAAACAAAAAGGAAGAGAACUUAAGCGAACUAAACGAAAUGUAAAUACGGAUUCAAAUUAGAAAAAAAACAAGUUCAUCAUACUUCCGGCAUAAAUCGAAAACAAAAUGUCGCCGAAAUUGCUGAUCCAUGCGUUCGAUAGUGGUUCAAAAAGUUGUCAAAUGUAAAAGAAAACAUUCUCGACCCGAUAUAGUCAAAUUCGUAUUCGUGGCCAGCGUGGCGAGAAGGGCCAAAACAAAAAAAGGCAAAAGAAACAACAGUAUUCCAAAAUCCCGGUAACCGUAUUUAUGCUCCCCCUCCCCCAAAAAGCGACAUAGCAAACCGACAGUGGAGCGAAGUAAAUUAAAAGCGAGAAUAAUCAAUUUAGCGACAAAUAUACAUAGAACUGACUACGUGUGGUAUUAGAGAGCAGCAAACGGUGGUUACACACAUUCCGUUCCAUGUUCGGCCAGAUAUAGUUACGAAAAUGACGACUUAUAACAGGCACACACAAAAAGACACAUGGUAUUUAAAUUUAAAACGUAAAAGUAACAUUAAUUAUCUACCAACAACCACCAACAGCAAUGGUGAACUAUCUUGGGCGUAAAAGGUAUCGAAAAAGGGAGCGUUUGAGGACUAAAGGACUUAUCAAAGGACCCUGGGUCUACUCUGGGUCUACAGGUCGCUCAUAACAACACAUACCAUGUAGCUAGCAAACAACGAUAUUCACGAAUUUCGAACGAUCUUGAUAACGGGGAGCGUAAAUGCCAGCAGGAGGAGGAGGAUCAAACCACCUUUUUCCAGGUUCCUUUCCUUAGCUCCAUUUCAGCUUGUUUCCCGUAUACCUGAAACUACUAUUACUACUCUCCAUAUUUACCUUUACAAGGCUUCAACAGUUGAGAUGAAACCGCGUGAUCCUGCUUUGUCCCUUUUCUCGCGGAAGAUGCAAAAAGAAACGGUCCUUUUUCUCGACUCUUUAGGAACCGGAAUCGGCUGCGAAUCGACAGCAUGGUGGUAUAACAAUGAUCUCACAUGUAAUAGUCAAAAAACCGCGGACGGUAUUAUACCCUACUACUACCAACAACCACAUGUAGAUAGAAGAGCAUUUUAAACCGUUCAAAGCAAACAUGCAUUAAGUAGUCCAAAAUGCGGGCGUGCAGCAUUGAAUGUUAGCAGCACAUCCGUGUAGGUGCCAGGAGGAUCGCAGAAUCGCGAUCAUCGCUGGGAUGAGGCUGACGAAUGUACGCACAUGUGCGCAGGUUAUGAAGAUACCCUUUUCUUAGUAUUAUUAUUCCAACAGAUUCACCGAAGACAAGCGCCGACGUACUGUACCGUUUGCAAAAUGCCACGGCAAUGGAAUGGACUUUCAAAGGAAGUGACAAUCGGCUUUCAUGGUGACCGUUCUACCGAGUUCUACAACGGUUGCGCUUGUUGCUUAGCAUCCAAAAUGCUGACUUGAUUGCUUAAGCAUGAUGGCGAAUCUUCUCGAACACGGAAGAAGCAACAGCAAGCGUCUGCUGUUGGAACUAAGUAGAACACCCAACAGUGAAGCGCCUGAUGAUGCACGGAAACUUAGCGUGAAACUGCAAGGAUUUGGUAGAUUGUGUGUGACCGAGAUAGAGAGAGAGAAAGAGAUAGGAGAGUAGACGCGUGUCAUGUAACUCUCAUCUCAC